AUGAACGCUGGCGGUAUGCUUAACACAUGCAAGUCGAACGGACUCUUCGGAGUUAGUGGCGGACGGGUGAGUAACGCGUGAGAAUCUGGCUUCAGGUCGGGGAUAACUACUGGAAACGGUGGCUAAUACCGGAUGUGCCGAAAGGUGAAAGGCUUGCUGCCUGAAGAUGAGCUCGCGUCUGAUUAGCUAGUUGGUGUGGUAAGAGCGCACCAAGGCGACGAUCAGUAGCUGGUCUGAGAGGAUGAUCAGCCACACUGGGACUGAGACACGGCCCAGACUCCUACGGGAGGCAGCAGUGGGGAACUUUCCGCAAUGGGCGAAAGCCUGACGGAGCAAUACCGCGUGAGGGAGGAAGGCUCUUGGGUUGUAAACCUCUUUCUCAAGGAAUAAGUUCUGAAGGUACUUGAGGAAUCAGCAUCGGCUAACUCCGUGCCAGCAGCCGCGGUAAUACGGAGGAUGCAAGCGUUAUCCGGAAUGAUUGGGCGUAAAGCGUCCGCAGGUGGCUAUGUAAGUCUGCUGUUAAAGAGUGAGGCUUAACCUCAUAAAAGCAGUGGAAACUACAUAGCUAGAGUGCGUUCGGGGCAGAGGGAAUUCCUGGUGUAGCGGUGAAAUGCGUAGAGAUCAGGAAGAACACCGGUGGCGAAGGCGCUCUGCUAGGCCGCAACUGACACUGAGGGACGAAAGCUAGGGGAGCGAAUGGGAUUAGAUACCCCAGUAGUCCUAGCCGUAAACGAUGGAUACUAGGCGUUGCGAGUAUCGACCCUCGCAGUGCCGGAGCCAACGCGUUAAGUAUCCCGCCUGGGGAGUACGCACGCAAGUGUGAAACUCAAAGGAAUUGACGGGGGCCCGCACAAGCGGUGGAGUAUGUGGUUUAAUUCGAUGCAACGCGAAGAACCUUACCAAGACUUGACAUGUCGCGAAUCCCGGUGAAAGCUGGGAGUGCCUUCGGGAGCGCGAACACAGGUGGUGCAUGGCUGUCGUCAGCUCGUGACGUGAGAUGUUGGAUUAAGUCCCGUAACGAGCGCAACCCUCGUUUUUAGUUGCCAGCAUUAAGUUGGGCACUCUAGAGAGACUGCCGGUGACAAACCGGAGGAAGGUGGGGAUGACGUCAAGUCAGCAUGCCCCUUACGUCUUGGGCUACACACGUACUACAAUGCUACGAACAGAGGGCAGCAAGCGUGCGAACGCAAGCAAAUCCCGGAAAUCGUAGCUCAGUUCAGAUCGAAGCUUGCAACUCAGCUUCGUGAAGGAGGAAUCGCUAGUAAUUGCAGGUCAGCAUACUGCAGUGAAUUCGUUCCCGGGCCUUGUACACACCGCCCGUCACACCAUGGAAGCUGGCAACGCCCGAAGCCAUUACCCCAACUUUUCGGAGAGGGGGAUGCCUAAGGCAGUGCUGGUGACUGGGGUG
rnacentral:rRNA from 1 species